CCUCCCUCUCUCUCUCUCUCUCAUCAAAAAGACUUCCAUGAUCAAUUCAUUUCCAUAUACAUCACUUUCCUUUCCCGUUAAGAUGCUCUACAACUAUCGUCUACCCUUCUCGCCGGUUGAAACGUGUUAACUUGUGACAGCCUACUAAUCUCUUUCCCCCAGCCAUCGAAAUCUUCUAAGCAAUUCGUGUUUAUUAGUGAGGAAUUGGGAGUUUUCUGUGGGAUUAAAUUGAUGAAUGCAAAAUUGAUGGAUUGAAGCUUUUAAGGUAAAUUUUUGUUGGUUUUUUGAUAGCUCGACUCAUUUGAAGGAAACGUAAAACCGAUGUCCCUAGAACAUUUGGAGAUUGAUUUUGAAUAUGUAAUGGUGGGUGUUUUUGAUCCAGUUAUAGGUUAGAAGCGGCAGUCCCCAGUGGGUCUUUUUUUAUUAUUAUUUUGUUUGGGUUUUUCGACGAAGAAAAGAGGAGGGAGGAAUAAUGGGCUGCAAUGAAGCUUACACUCAGUAUUGAAGUGGAUUUGUGUUUUGUUGCAGGUUUUAAAGAAGAAAAAGAAAAAAAAAAAGAAGAAAAGAAGGAGGAGAGAGAGAGAGAGAGAGAGAGAGAGAGAGAGAGAGAGAGAGAGAGAGAGAGAGAGGAUAUGGUGGGGGUGUAUAUUUUUUUAAUUUCUUUUUAUUUUGUAGUUAUAAAAACAUUAUAAGUGGUAAAAAUAAUGUAAAAAAGAAAUUAGAAGGGCAAAACCGUCAUUUCAGGUCUUUCAAGGACCAAAACCACGGGAAUCUUCUAAUUUUGGGACCAAAAUCAUGUAAAAGUUUUGAUUUUAGACCUUUCAUGCAAGUCAAAAACUUUUUGGAUCCUAUCCAAAGUUUUUUACAAAUCACAGGUACCAAAAUUACAGUUUUGUCUUUUAUAUUUGGUGAUUUUAAGGUAAUUAAUUCAUUGCAUUCUU